UCCGCCCUGGUGUAACGGCAGCACGACGGCCUUUGGAGCCGUUAGGAAGAGGUUCGAAUCCUCUGGGCGGAG
rnacentral:tRNA from 1 species